rnacentral:rRNA from 1 species
GAUGAACGCUGGCGGCGUGCCUAAUACAUGCAAGUCGAACGAAACUUCUUUAUCACCGAGUGCUUGCACUCACCGAUACAGGGUUGAGUGGCGAACGGGUGCGUAACACGUGGGCAACCUGCCCAAAAGAGGGGGAUAACACUUGGAAACAGGUGCUAAUACCGCAUAACCAUAGUUACCGCAUGGUAACUAUGUAAAAGGUGGCUAUACUACCGCUUUUGGAUGGUCCCGCGGCGCAUUAGCUAGUUGGUAGGGUAAAGGCUUACCAAGGCAAUGAUGCGUAGCCGAAGUGAGAGGUUGAUCGGCCACAUUGGGACUGAGACACGGCCCAAACUCCUACGGGAGGCAGCAGUAGGGAAUCUGCCACAAUGGGCGAAAGCCUGAUGGAGCAACGCCGCGUGGGUGAAGAAGGUCUUCGGAUCGUAAAACCCUGUUGUUAGAGAAGAAAGUGCGUGAGAGUAACUGUUCACGUUUCGACGGUAUCUAACCAGAAAGCCACGGCUAACUACGUG